rnacentral:rRNA from 1 species
AUUGAACGCUGGCGGCAUGCUUUACACAUGCAAGUCGAACGGUAACAGGCCGCAAGGUGCUGACGAGUGGCGAACGGGUGAGUAAUGCAUCGGAACGUGCCCAGUCGUGGGGGAUAACUACUCGAAAGAGUAGCUAAUACCGCAUACGAUCUAUGGAUGAAAGCGGGGGACCGUAAGGCCUCGCGCGAUUGGAGCGGCCGAUGUCAGAUUAGGUAGUUGGUGGGGUAAAGGCUCACCAAGCCAACGAUCUGUAGCUGGUCUGAGAGGACGACCAGCCACACUGGGACUGAGACACGGCCCAGACUCCUACGGGAGGCAGCAGUGGGGAAUUUUGGACAAUGGGCGCAAGCCUGAUCCAGCAAUGCCGCGUGCAGGAAGAAGGCCUUCGGGUUGUAAACUGCUUUUGUACGGAACGAAACGGCUCUGGUUAAUACCCGUGGCUAAUGACGGUACCGUAAGAAUAAGCACCGGCUAACUACGUG